rnacentral:rRNA from 1 species
UGUGUUCAAUUCGACGCUACGCGAAGAACCUCACCAGGGUUUGACAUAUAGGUAGUAGGAACCUGAAAGGGAGACGACUCGUUAAGCCGAGUGCCUAUACAGGUGUUGCAUGGCUGUCGUCAGCUCGUGCCGUGAGGUGUUGGGUUAAGUCCCGCAACGAGCGCAACCAUCAUCCUUAGUUGCUACCGAGGGAUCCGAAAGGGUCCUGGCGAGCACUCUAAGGAGACUGCCCGUGAUAAACGGGAGGAAGGUGGAGAUGACGUCAAGUCCGUAUGGCCCUUAUACCCUGGGCUACACACGUGUUACAAUGGGAUGUACAGAGCGUUGCCAAACCGCGAGGUGGAGCUAAUCGCAAAAAGCAUCCCCCAGUUCAGAUUGGAGUCUGCAACCCGACUCCAUGAAGUUGGAAUUGCUAGUAACGGCGGAUCAGCUACGCCGCCGUGAAUACGUUCCCGGGCCUU